AACGUAGGAGCCAAGCGUUAUCCGAAUUCACUGGGCGUAAAGCGUGUGCAGGCGGUACGGUAAGUUGGAUGUGAAAUCUCCCGGCUCAACUGGGAGAGGCCGUUCAAUACUGUCGAACUCGAGGGCAACAGAGGGAGGUGGAAUUCCCGGUGUAGUGGUGAAAUGCGUAGAUAUCGGGAGGAACACCAGUGGCGAAGGCGGCCUCCUGGGUUGUACCUGACGCUCAGACACGACAGCUAGGGGAGCGAACGGG
rnacentral:rRNA from 1 species